rnacentral:sRNA from 1 species
UUUUUCCAUUCGCUGAGUUCCAAUUAUGGGAACGGGGGAACCACUGUAAGCUGGAACAGUCGAUAACUGUUGUAGUGAACAGAGUGAGUAACAGGGGUGAAUCUUGGAGUGUACUUCGUAUACUUUGAGUAGGGCGACUCUCACGUCCGAAUCCGUCAGCUAACCUCGUAAGCGUAAGAGAGGUAACGA